rnacentral:tRNA from 1 species
UCCGGCGUGGCGCAACUGGCAGCGCGGCAGGUUUUGGUCCUGUGUCUUUGUCCUGGUUCGAGUCCAGGCGCCGGAA